CAAAGCUCUGUGUGGACUAUACCUGAAACAUACUAGGUAAAAGUGUUAGUCCAAGAGACAAUGUAUGUUGUCAUGAAUUAUCAAAACCACCAAGGGAGUGUAUGUGCUUUCAAUCUCCCCCUUUUUGGUAAUUGAUGACAACAUACAAUCAAAGCUUCAAAUAAAUAUAUGCAUUAAAAUAUGACAGAUUUGAAGGAUACAUGACUAGUACAAGCUCCCCCUAGAUGCGUGCAAUCCCUUUUUAAAGGAUAGUUGCUUUGGACUGCAUGGGCACACACAUGGUAGAAAGACAAGACGAGCCAUAUAAAUCUUGGCUAUAUGCAUCAAACAUAUGUAAAUGUAGAACUUCCAUGUUCAAGACUCACACUUGUAAACAAUAUGUGCAAGAGACAAGAGAUCAUCAUGAACAAUGACAUGAUGCAUAUACUUACCUUGAGGUUCUUGAGGGUCUUAGAAAUGGGAUUACACUUGGGAAAACAAAUGUUAGAUAAUACAAGAGUAUUCUAUUGUAAAGAUGCAUAGAGCUUCAAAAGUACCAACACAUUUAAGAUAUAUGAGAAAUCUGAUUUGAUGAUAAAUAUGUCUCCAAGAGAAUUUAGAACUUUCUUCCAUGAGGAUGAAUAUCAAAGAAUUUACUCUCGCCGUGAAUCAUAACAUAUAGAUACUGGGAGUAGGUAAGGCCAGACAAGUUCAAUCAAAAUAUAGUGAUGGGAUAGUGAUAUCUGAAACAAUAUUAUCUCUCUCCCUCUUAAUAUGUAAGGUUUGAUACAUCUCCCUUUAGGUAGAUCUCCCCUUAGGCAGACCUUCACUUAGGAACAUAUAUCUCCCAUGUUGAUAUUUCUCCCCAUUUAUGUAAGCUUAUUGGUGUUAUUGCUCCCCCUUAUAUAGGUUUAUUAGAAGCUUUGAUAUUUCUCCCCCUUUGGCAUUAAUUUCCAAAAAGGUGAGAGGGUAAGGGCUCAUUGAGAGAAAGGGAUCCUUGAUACUUCUCUCUUUGAUAAGGGUUCCUCGAAUUUUACUUUUCUCCCCCUUGAUAGUAGGUAAGGGUUCAUUGAAUGUUCUCC
rnacentral:lncRNA from 1 species